UGGGUAGUCCGUACGAGCGCACCCUAUCCUUAGUUGCCAGCGAGUAUGUCGGGAACUCUAGGGAGACUGCCGGUGACAAACCGGAGGAAGGUGGGGACGACGUCAAGUCAUCAUGGCCCUUAUGGCCAGGGCUACACACGUGCUACAAUGGCCGGCACAGAGGGCUGCGAAGUCGCAAGGCGGAGCGAAUCUCAGAAAACCGGUCGUAGUCCGGAUUGCAGUCUGCAACUCGACUGCAUGAAGUUGGAAUCGCUAGUAAUCGCGGAUCAGAAUGCCGCGGUGAAUACGUUCCCGGGCCUUGUACACACCGCCCGUCACACCAUGGGAGUGGGCUGUACCAGAAGUAGGUAGUCUAACCUUCGGGGGGACGCUUACCACGGUGUGGUUCAUGACUGGGGUGAAGUCGUAACAAGGUAGCCCUAGGGGAACCUGGGGCUGGAUCACCUCCUU
rnacentral:rRNA from 1 species